UACGUAGGGGGCUAGCGUUGUCCGGAAUCAUUGGGCGUAAAGAGCGUGUAGGCGGCCCGGUAAGUCCGCUGUGAAAGUCGGGGGCUCAACCCUCGAAAGCCGGUGGAUACUGUCGGGCUAGAGUGCGGAAGAGGCGAGUGGAAUUCCUGGUGUAGCGGUGAAAUGCGCAGAUAUCAGGAAGAACACCCGUGGCGAAAGCGGCUCUCUGGGACGGUACUGACGCUGAGACGCGAAAGCGUGGGGAGCGAACAGG
rnacentral:rRNA from 1 species